UUUUUUGGUGCGCUCGUGUCUGUGCAGGAUCCGCUCGUGCCCAAGGACUGGGCAGGGGAGGCGCUCCCGGCCUCGGACGAAGAGAAAGGUGCCCUGGGUUUCUCGGUCAGAUUUUUGAUUUCGCGGUAUUUGUUUGGUGUGCUGUGGACAUGUGGUUGACCUCUCUGCCGCUGGUUGGAUGUCUGUGUGGUGUUGUUUCAGGUUUUGCAGAGAGCACAUUGUCAAACGAGCAGGUUGGCAGAUGGUGAUGACACAGAUGAGGAGCUUAGGCGAGAGAACACUACUUCAGUUAAUACACUAUCCAGUACUGCUAGUUCUCAUCUCACUUGUUGUGCUUCUUGUACUGGGAGCACUCUUUGUUAUCCCAAGAUCUAACAUCAAAGGUAAAAUGGGUACAUCUCUUGUCUUGUUGUAUUUGCAAGUUUGAAACUGGAUUAGCAUCUUGGAGUAUUGUUGUACUCCAAUAGACUAAACAGUACGUACUCCAGUACUGAUAGUUAGAGUAGCAUCUUGGAGUAGGGUAGUCCACAUUUGUCUACCUUAGACCAGAUUAUUCCAAUUAGUCCACAUUUCAUAUUAUUCUUGGAGCACUGUACUAUAGCAGCAGUACUGUAUUGUAGCAGCAGCAUGAGUAAACUGAAUACUCCUUCAUA